GGCACGAGGCGAGGGAGGCAGGUCUAAGGUCAGAAUUGGGCCGACACGCCGAGAUAUGUCUCGUACCCUUCUCCUCUCCCAAAAGCGACUGUUGGCUCCGUCGCGAACGCAAAUAAUGCUCGAUUAACCGUAAUUUUGCUGCCUAAAACGCUCAGAGGAAAAGAAGGAAGUAUUAAUGGAACAUCAUCAACCCCUCUGCUUUCGUUGGGAAGCAACAUCAUCCUUCUUUUCGAAAGGGGGACUUUUGCUGCCGCCGCAAGAAAAAAAAGAAGGCAUCUUUGCUUUCAGACGCAAGAUCUUCCCACUGGCUCUAUUUCUGCCUAUUCCUCCCGAAGAACUUCCAGAAUCUUGACUUGAUGGGCGCAUUUCCCGGGUCAAAUUGCAGGCCAACUGCUUGUUAUAAUGUCCAAUAGCUAACAGCUUGAACCGCAGGUGCUCACUGUGUGGGGUGUCCAAGAUCUGUGGAUUCUGAUUCAGUGUGCCAUGAAGAAUGCAGUAGGAGUUGACUGAGUGCUACCAGCCAUGGCCUUUGAAUUGGUGAGGCUGCAUUACUGACCUCGUGCAUUACACAUAAGGAAGAAUUUUCUACUCACUGCAUGCAGCAGUCUCCAUCUUCACAAAUCAAAGUUCAAACAGGAAGGGGAGGAGGUAAGUGAUAAGUUUUCAUACUCAAGGCACAUUUGAAUUGAUAUAUGCAUUUUUAUCUUGAUAAAAUGUAGAUAUUGUCUAGUUGUAAGAAAUACCUCAUAACUUACUAGAAAUGGAGGGAAUUGAUUAGCUUGACUUGAAGAACCAAUCCAAGGAUGCUGCCCUUAACUCCCUGUUACCACAGAGAGUUAAGGGAGUGAAACUAAAAGAAGCAAAUCUGGUUGAUUCUUUACAAAAGGUUAAACAAAGAUAUGACAAGUUGCUCAAAAUACUGUAAACUAUGUUAAUGGAGAGUAAAGCAUUAGGCAAAAGUAGCUGUGCACCACUAGCCACAAAAACAUCAGUUAUUUUGCCGUGUUUGGUCAUUGCAUAUUACAAUCUGACAAGCUCUCAUCUUUAGAGGUAAGAUUGUAAGGUUGUGUGCAUUGAAUUUUUUCGGACCCAACAUUAGCAGGAUCCUCGUGAGUCUCGUGUACUAGAUAUGCUCUUUUUAGUUUGGGUCCAAUUCAACCGCUGAAUUAAUUCUGUAAUAAAACAAAAUUCAAGAGCAGAAAAAGAAAGAAAUAUAAAAUUACAUCAAACAAGCCCUUAGUUGAGUGAACAAGACCUCCAAUAUGUUUUCAGAUGUGCCAGUAAUUUUUAUAUGCAGGCAAUAAAUGGCCAAAGAGACUGACAAUGGAGUAGAUGGGUAGCAAGGCAAUUUGUUAUGCAGGGCAUGCAUAUGCACACAUUUUAUCCUAUCACACUCAGAAGUCUUAACUCAAAUAAGCUUGUAUUCUGAAAGUGAUUUUAGUUGGAACCAGGAACCAGUUUCUGCUCUCCUCAUUCUCUCUUGCUCCAAUCACCAAUGUCUUGGAAUGAAUGUUUGAUUGCUGAAUAAGAAUCGAGAAGAGGUUAAGAGUAUUGGA